rnacentral:tRNA from 1 species
GGAGACGGGAGGGUUCCUGGUGGACCCCGCGGCCUUCAAAGCCGUUGCGAGGCGUGCAGAGCGUCUUGGGUGUGUUCGAUUCACAUACGUCUCCGCCA